UUACGGUCUUAUCACGCUGAAACACCGAUUCCCGUACGAUCACCGAAGUUAAGCAACAUGAGACUUGUCAGUACGUAGAUGAGUCACCGCUUGGGAAUAGUAGUUGGUGUAA